rnacentral:rRNA from 1 species
CAAGCAGAAGACGGCAUACGAGAUGUGACUGGAGUUCAGACGUGUGCUCUUCCGAUCUCUCCACCCAGACUCAUCCAUACGGAGUAUGAUAGAGAGUUUCUGUUGGUGUUGAUAUGGAAAAAAGCCCCGUCGGGACGAACCAUCCGGCCCGUACCGCAAUCCGACACAGGUGUGCUAGGCGAGUAUCCGAAGGCGUUCGGGAGAACCCUCGUGAAGGAACUCGGCAAAAUGACCCCGUACCUUCGGUACAAGGGGUGCUCUCCGUAAGGAGAGCCGCAGAGAAUCGGCUCUAGCGACUGUUUAUCAAAAACACAGGACUCUGCCAACUUGCAAGAGGACGUAUAGAGUCUGACGCCUGCUCGGUGUCGGUAGGUUAAGGGAGCCGAUGAGGCGGAAGCUGAAGUUGGCGACCGAAGCCCCGAUAAACGGCGGCCGUAACUAUGACGGUCCUAAGGUAGCGAAGUUCCUUGUCGGGUAAGUUCCGACCUGCAUGAAUGGCGUAACGACUGGAGCACUGUCUCCACGAGGGACCCGGUGAAACUGUAGCCGUGGUGAAGAUGCCACGUACCCGCGGUCAGACGGAAAGACCCCGUGAACCUUUACUGCAGGUUGGCAUUGGGUCAGCGUCCUUUCUGUGUAGCAUAGGUGGGAGGCCGUGAUCCGGCGGCGCCAGCCGUCGGGGAGCCAUCGGUGAAAUACCACCCUGAAAUGACUCUGAUCCUCACCGGUCCGUAGCCCGGGCCGGGACCAUGCUCAUCGGGCAGUUUGACUGGGGCGGUCUCCUCCCAAAGAGUAACGGAGGAGUGCAAUGGUACCCUCGGCCAGGUCGGCAAUCUGGCAACACGAGCGCAAACGUAGAAGGGUGCCUGACUGCGAGACCCAUCAGUCGAGCAGGGACGAAAGUCGGCGUCAGUGAUCCGGCGGUGCUGGAUGGAAAGGCCGUCGCUCAACAGAUAAAAGGUACUCCGGGGAUAACAGGCUGAUCUCCCCCGAGCGUCCAUAGCGGCGGGGAGGUUUGGCACCUGAUGUCGGCUCAUCGCAUCCUGGGGCUGGAGAAGGUCCCAAGGGUUUGGCUGUUCGCCAAUGAAAGCGGUACGCGAGCUGGGUUCAGACCGUCGUGAGACAGGUCGGUCCCUAUCUGCCGUGGGCGGAGGAAACUUGCGAAGGGUCUCCCCUAGUACGAGAGGAUUGGGGAGGACCGACCUCUGGUGUACCGGCUGUCCUGCUCAGGGCACCGCCGGGUAGCUAGGUCGGGAAAGGAUAAGCGCUGAAGGCAUCUAAGCGCGAAGCCCUCUUCAAGACGAGGUUUCCAGCACGCAAGUGCGAAGGCUCCUGGAAGACGACCAGGUCGAUAGGCCGGGAGUGCACGGCGAGCGAUCGCCGCAGCCGACCGGUCCUAACAGCCAAUCGCUUGACCAC